rnacentral:rRNA from 1 species
GAUGAACGCUGGCGGCGUGCCUAAUACAUGCAAGUCGAGCGAACAGACGAGGAGCUUGCUCCUCUGACGUUAGCGGCGGACGGGUGAGUAACACGUGGAUAACCUACCUAUAAGACUGGGAUAACUUCGGGAAACCGGAGCUAAUACCGGAUAAUAUAUUGAACCGCAUGGUUCAAUAGUGAAAGACGGUUUUGCUGUCACUUAUAGAUGGAUCCGCGCCGCAUUAGCUAGUUGGUAAGGUAACGGCUUACCAAGGCAACGAUGCGUAGCCGACCUGAGAGGGUGAUCGGCCACACUGGAACGGAGACACGGUCCAGACUCCUACGGGAGGCAGCAGUAGGGAAUCUUCCGCAAUGGGCGAAAGCUUGACGGAGCAACGCCGCGUGAGUGAUGAAGGUCGUCGGAUCGUAAAACUCUGUUAUUAGGGAAGAACAAAUGUGUAAGUAACUAUGCACGUCUUGACGGUACCUAAUCAGAAAGCCACGGCUAACUACGUG